UACGUAGGGUGCGAGCGUUGUCCGGAAUUAUUGGGCGUAAAGAGCUUGUAGGCGGUUUGUCGCGUCUGCCGUGAAAAUUCGAGGCUCAACCUCGAACUUGCGGUGGGUACGGGCAGACUAGAGUGUGGUAGGGGAGACUGGAAUUCCUGGUGUAGCGGUGAAAUGCGCAGAUAUCAGGAGGAACACCGGUGGCGAAGGCGGGUCUCUGGGCCGAUGACUGACGCUGGAGGAGCGAAAGCGUGGGGAGCGAACAGG
rnacentral:rRNA from 1 species